GCCCAGGUGGCGGAAUUUGGUAGACGCAAUAGAUUCAGAAUCUAUCGGUUUAAAACCAUGCCGGUUCAAAUCCGGUCCUGGGCACCA
rnacentral:tRNA from 1 species